rnacentral:sRNA from 1 species
GUCAUAGUACCCACGGCUAAAGCCGUGGGCUUGUGUCAAGCACAAGCCCGGCUAUGACCAGCCUGAGCGCUUUAUGCGCUACGUUAUUCCGGUCAUGACACCCUGGGGUGCUUCUCCAGCCCCAGGCCCUGUC